GUCGGACGGCAGCGCGGGCUUCGGCCUGGCGGCGAGUGGCGAACGGGUGAGUAAUACAUCGGAACGUGUCCUGUAGUGGGGGAUAGCCCGGCGAAAGCCGGAUUAAUACCGCAUACGCUCUGCGGAGGAAAGCGGGGGAUCCUUCGGGACCUCGCGCUACAGGGGCGGCCGAUGGCAGAUUAGCUAGUUGGUGGGGUAAAGGCCUACCAAGGCGACGAUCUGUAGCUGGUCUGAGAGGACGACCAGCCACACUGGGACUGAGACACGGCCCAGACUCCUACGGGAGGCAGCAGUGGGGAAUUUUGGACAAUGGGGGCAACCCUGAUCCAGCAAUGCCGCGUGUGUGAAGAAGGCCUUCGGGUUGUAAAGCACUUUUGUCCGGAAAGAAAACUUCUGGGUUAAUACCCUGGGAGGAUGACGGUACCGGAAGAAUAAGCACCGGCUAACUACGUGCCAGCAGCCGCGGUAAUACGUAGGGUGCAAGCGUUAAUCGGAAUUACUGGGCGUAAAGCGUGCGCAGGCGGUUCGCUAAGACAGAUGUGAAAUCCCCGGGCUUAACCUGGGAACUGCAUUUGUGACUGGCGGGCUAGAGUAUGGCAGAGGGGGGUAGAAUUCCACGUGUAGCAGUGAAAUGCGUAGAGAUGUGGAGGAAUACCGAUGGCGAAGGCAGCCCCCUGGGCCAAUACUGACGCUCAUGCACGAA
rnacentral:rRNA from 1 species